rnacentral:rRNA from 1 species
UACGUAGGGGGCAAGCGUUGUCCGGAAUCAUUGGGCGUAAAGCGCGUGUAGGCGGCCUGGUAGGUCUGCUGUGAAAACUCGAGGCUCAACCUCGAGAUGUCGGCGGAAACCAUCUGGCUAGAGUCCGGAAGAGGAGAGUGGAAUUCCUGGUGUAGCGGUGAAAUGCGCAGAUAUCAGGAAGAACACCUAUGGCGAAGGCAGCUCUCUGGGCCGAUACUGACGCUGAGGAGCGAAAGCGUGGGGAGCGAACAGG